UGUGACUGCGUACCUUUUGUAUAAUGGGUCAGCGACUUAUAUUCUGUAGCAAGGUUAACCGUAUAGGGGAGCCGGAGGGAAACCGAGUCUUAACCGGGCGUUAAGUUGCAGGGUAUAGACCCGAAACCCGGUGAUCUAGCCAUGGGCAGGUUGAAGGUUGGGUAACACUAACUGGAGGACCGAACCGACUAAUGUUGAAAAAUUAGCGGAUGACCUGUGGCUGGGGGUGAAAGGCCAAUCAAACCGGGAGAUAGCUGGUUCUCCCCGAAAGCUAUUUAGGUAGCGCCUCGUGAAUUCAUCUCCGGGGGUAGAGCACUGUUUCGGCUAGGGGGCCAUCCCGGCUUACCAACCCGAUGCAAACUGCGAAUACCGGAGAAUGUUAUCACGGGAGACACACGGCGGGUGCUAACGUCCGUCGUGAAGAGGGAAACAACCCAGACCGCCAGCUAAGGUCCCAAAGUCAUGGUUAAGUGGGAAACGAUGUGGGAAGGCCCAGACAGCCAGGAUGUUGGCUUAGAAGCAGCCAUCAUUUAAAGAAAGCGUAAUAGCUCACUGGUCGAGUCGGCCUGCGCGGAAGAUGUAACGGGGCUAAACCAU
rnacentral:rRNA from 2 species